ensembl:lncRNA
CAUGAGUCCUUGAAGAUCUUGAAGUCAAUGUGAAAUCAAAAUUGAUGCUAUAAUCUGACAUUACUUUUUUUUUCAACAUUAUGCCACAGUUUUAUAGGGUUUAUUAUUUAAGGUAAAUACAUUAGAAUGUCAAUAAAUUUCCCAACUGAGCAUUAAUUUAGGCCUACCUAAAUGCUAUUUGCACUUUUGUGUGUUUUUUUGUUGAGAAAUAUUGUGUUUGUGUUGAUGUGGUAAACUCUCAGCUAUAGCAGAAGGUCUUAAUCUUCUUCUCCGGAACAGAAUGAGCUUAAAAACCAAAAACCCAAGAGGGAGUUUGAUUUUAAUUAGUUUAUCUGGCGGCUGAAUGGUUGAAAGAGAGCGCGCGCUCUCAGAGAUUAGACACCGUGCUUGAGUGCGCGUGAACGUGAGGGUGCCUGGCGUCUUCGUGGAUCCCCAGAGCCUCUUUAAAAAGCUGAUAUCGGCAAAUUGCUGUCAAAAGCCUUCAGAGCACGUGCCAGCGUUGCCAUUGGCAACCACAACUAAACAGAUGCGGCCAGUGAUGACAACACUUGAAUCUAAUUUGUGAUCAUCUGAUCAGGGGCGCUGGUAUCCCAGCAUGAGAAUCAAAGAGAACCGGAGAAACAGAAGCUGGGCCCGCUGAAUCUAAUGUCAAAGGCCUGCCAGCAGAAGGAAUUCAUUGUGGAAACAAAAACAGC